CUUAGCAGAAGAGAUGAAUUGUGAGCCACAUUGAAUAGAGCAACUUCCCUUGACCCUGGAUCAGUAGCGACUGGAAGACCAGAGGCUUCAUAACUUUCAAAUAGUUGCUGAGAACAUGAUGAAAGCAAAAUUUCCUCAUCCUCUCAUCCUUCAGGAAAGUAGGAUACUUAUCCUGAUCCUGAGAAGUACACCAGUUGUAUGUUUACUACGUUACCUUUCAGUUUUCACUAAUACCUUGCUAAACAGAAAGGAGAAAACAUUAGUUUGAUUACCACUAACAGUCUAGGACUUUUGCAUUUAAAAAACAUCCUGCAAUUAAAUUUGUCAAGCAUGA